rnacentral:Y_RNA from 1 species
CCCUCCCCUGAAAGUAGUGAAUUAUCUCAAUUGAUUGUUCAGUCACAGGCAGAACUCCUUGCUCUACUCUUUCUCCCCCUCACUAGUGAACUUGGCAAGUUUU